rnacentral:misc_RNA from 1 species
AAGUCGUAACAAGGUAACCGUAGGUGAACCUGCGGUUGGAUCAUUAAAAAAGUUCAUUCUGAUUAGCCCCUGUUUGUGUCAAUUGGUUCGUCCGGUCUGUUGAAUGUUCAUAAUUCCAGGCGUUGGCAUUAAACUUGCGGUGAACAGCAGAACACCCACCUUUUGUGAACUGAACUUGUCUCUGGCAGGGGGGCUGUGAAAACAGCCUGUCAGUAUUGCUUUUUGCAAUGCCGUGGACAUCCUGUCAAACACUUGUAAACUUUUUCGUUAACUUCUGUCUGACAUCUAUGUAUAAAUAUACAAAACAACUUUUGGCAACGGAUCUCUUGGCUCUC